CUCCCCUCCCUCCCUCCCUUCCCCGGCCUGGACGCGCAGGGAGAGGGGCUCCGGGGUGCCGUGGGACGGUCAGGGGUCGCGCGCAAGCUGCUGUGGAGGGACUGAGUCCACCCGUGUGGGGCCGUAGAGUGUGGGUGGGGGCCCCCAGGACCCUGUAACUCGAUGCUUGGGAGUGUGCGAGAAGGGGUGGUCAGACAUCUGCUCGAAAAUUGCUUCCUUUCUUUCUACUUUCAGUUUUUCUACCAGGAAACAUUUAAAAACGACUUGCAUCACAAAUGGUCUUUUGGGGGGUAAAGGAGUCUGGGUUGGAAAUGGCACUCUUCCUUCGCCAACGCGUAGGACCUCCCUGGUGGAAACCCAUCAGGCCGGGAGAGGUGGGGUUCCCGCUAUUUGGGGGGUGGGUGGGUGGGUGGGUGGUGGGGUCCUGGAUUGAGGGAGUCGCCCACGGGACUCCAAAUGUGGGAGAAAGGGUGCUCGCCACAUUUUAGCUCGUCUCUUUAAAGAAUAACUUGAGAAAGGUAACCACUGUAACCCGCCCUGAAAUUUCCAACCGAUUCCAACCCAAGUAAAACUCAAUUUCCCCAGGAAAAAGGGUGGCGGUGACGUGGGGUGGGGUGAGGGGAGAAAAUGCUGAGCCUCCGGGGGUGAGAGAGAAGAGGCUCCACUCCCGCGGCGGGGGCUCUUCCCCGACUCCCAGGAUCAUCUCCGAUUUCCCAGGAAACCUCCAACCCGCGGCUACCGCAGCCCCGGCAGGAUGUUCGCUACGCCGGCCGCGUGUCCGGAAUUCCCGGGCCACCUAGGAAUUACCUGCCCCGCACAGCUGGCCAGCUCGCCUUCUUCCAGGAAUUAAAGAAACAAAUGGCGCGACCCCCACUGCGUUCGGGCAGAGGAGACCUCAGCGAGGAUGGAGCCUCUCACACGGACUCCACUCAAACUCUUCUUAAAGCGGGUAGGCGAGUCCUGGGGGAGCCGAGGAACGAGCCCCCACCGUCUGCCCGAGGACCUGAGCCAGGCCGAGGGCCACACAGGUAGCGGAGGAGCCGCCGCCGGCUGCGCCGCCCGCCCUCCCGUGUCCCCACCCCCCCAUCCCAUCCCCGCCCCUCCAGCCCCAGGCUUUGCAGCGAAGGAAGCGUCGCGGACGUCCCACCCCCGCAGGGAACUGCGCCCACUGCGCCUGCUGCCCCCGCCCGGCCCCGCACCACCCGCCCUAGCGGCCCCUCCUCGCUCCCCAGACCAUCGGCUCCGGCGGAGAGAAACGGCAGCAACAGUGCCUUUACCCCCCCACCCCCCCUCCACUUUUUUUUGUUGUUGUUGUUGCUUUCCCACGCUGGCUGAAUGUGACUUGACCCCAUUUCAAAAAGUUUGACAUAGUGCUUCAACAUUUCCGCAUUCCUCCGCGACUACAAAGGCUGCAGCCGCCUCCUUCUGCUUUCUGUCUCUGCUCUCUGUCUUCACACUCAAUGAAAUCCUUCAUGUGCCUCUCUCGGAGCCUGCCAAGCACCGCAAGGGUCGCCACCAGCGCCGCGACCAGAGGCCGCACCGGGGACCACGGCUCCCGCGUGCGCGCACACACGGAUGCGCCCACGUGCACACUGACCGGCGGGCUGCGGGGCCGAGGCUGCUCCCUGCGGGGUGUGCGUUAGAGCUCCGAUAUUGGAAAUUCGAAAAGUAAACUGGGAAGCUAAAGCGAACCUGCCUUGAGUCCAUGCGGGGCUCCAAGCCUGGGCACUGGUCAGCCUGCGUGCACUCCUCCAAGUGUGCAAAACUCCGCCGCGGGGGUUGCCAGCGAGAAGCCUGCGUUCACGUUUACCUCGUGGUGGGAAGGUGGAGCCCACACCCACACCUCGGCGAGCCGGAGCGAGAGCUUUCGUGGGAAAUCAACAUGGAGCACGGGAACACAUUCUCCCGCACAGAGUCCCCAGGGGCAGUGCAUUUUCACCCCUAAACGUGGAUUAUUGUAGGACCGUCCGAGCGGAGUUUAAAUUCCGUUUCAAAAUCUGCAUAAGGAGUGUUUGUGCUUUUGCUCACGGCUAUGUGGGAGCGGGCACAGGACCUGUGUUGGGCGUCCCUAGUGUGUGAUGUCCUCCGUCUCUAGUCAGAUUAGGAGAGACGCCUUGAGCGCCCCCAAACUGGACCCCGUAACUAGCCCGCCUUGGUUCGCAAAGGGUUAAUCAAAGUGGAUUCCGAGGACAUACCCUCCACCCCAUCAGUCACCCCCACCCACACCCUCGCUUCCGACCCCAGACGAGGGCCCCACUCUCCCCCGGGGACCCCCUCCCCCCACCCCGCAGCCCACCCACCCGAGCGCCCAGAUCCUCACCUGAGCGACCGGGCCACAUCCGGCCUCCCGAGGGGGCUGCGAGUGUCAGUCCGACCUCCGCACGUGUCCGCGGCGGCGGGGAGCAGGUAACCCGGCUCGGAGGAAGGAGUCACCAGCUCGCUCUCGGCGAGGGGGUGGGCACAGCGGCGGAGGGCGGAGGGACGGCGGAGGGCGCCGCCCGCGCGGCUCGCAGGGGGUGGACGGGAGCCGUGGGGCUCCGGCCGGAGCUCGGGGCCCGAGCUGGGGAGGUAGCGGGGGCGGGGGCGGGGGCGGGGGCCCGGGAGGCCGACUCUGCCCGAGACCCACCGGGCGGCAGGGUGGGGGGCUCGCGGCGCAGGGGCAAGCAAGUGUGCAAAUUAAAGCCUUCCGGAGAGAGCGGAGGCGGCCGGAGCGGCGGUGCUCCGAGCUCCCAGCUCCCCAGCUCUCGGCUCCAAGUGGGGGGCGAGGCGGGGGGGAGAGGGGGGCUUAAAUGAAAAUUUCCGGCUUUCCCUGCAACUGGAGUGGGAGAAGCUUGCGACUAAAAUCAGAAGCGUGAGGGGGAUGUGUCGCCGGGAGUCGGCGGAGUUUCCACACCCAGGGUCGCCCGGAGUUGGGGUUUUGACAGAGUGAGGAGGGGGUAUCAGCAGUUUGAGAUGUAGACGGAUGGGAAAAACACAAAACGAUCGACGAUAAUUAUGAGGGGCCCAUGGGGAUGGUAAAUACCCACACUUUCCAAGAAACUGAAAAAUCAGACCGAAAAAUAAUUCUUUUCUAUUAAAAAAAAAAAAAAAAGUUUGGCAGGACGCCUUGCAGAAAAGAAAAUACUAAUCUGUCCAAGCACUUUUCACUUUCAGCAUGAGCUACAUUGGUUUUGUUUUCCUUCGCUUCCUUUCGGCCUCACAAAGCCCUAUCUUUUCCUUUUGGACAGAGGGUAUGAUUUGGAAAUUGUCAGGCACUCUUGUGGUUAACGAUCACUUGAAGGGACUGGCCGGUUCACAAUUAUUAAGUGGUUAGCAAAUGCUGAGGGUUCACUAAGGUAUUUCUGAGGAGAUAAAAAAAACAACAACACUAAAAUUCAGUGUAAGUAAUAAAACCUCAAGAUAACACACACACACACACACACACACACACACACACACACACGAACGUGAUUCGGUAGGUGCUCAGUUUGAAUGCAUUGUUGGGAUUCUGAAAUUUGAAACCUUGUAAGCAUGUAUCUUUACCUGCUGAGAAAACCUGAAUACAAUUAUUUCAGGUGGAAAUGCGAUUUUGGCAGAAAAAAGGAGUUUUCAAUACUUUCUACCAUGGAGUAAAACAAAACUUAAAAUAACUGUGUGUGUUUUUUU